UAUCAUAUUAUGUAUCAAAUAUAAUAUAAUAUCAUACAAUAUCAUACUUAAGUAUACAAUAUAAUAUAAUGUGUUACAAAAUUGUGAUGUAUUAUGUGAUAUGACAUUGUAUCAUAUAUUAUGAUAUUGUAUUAUGUGAUCAAAUGCAAUAAUGUAUUUAACAUGACACUAUGUCAUGUCAUAUGUUACAAUAUCAUAUUGCAUCAUUAUUUAUUACAGUAUUUUAUUUUUAUUAUUAUAUGUGUGUAUCUUAUAUUAAUAUAUGAAAUGAACAUAUGAUUAUUAUCCAAUUUUUUAACAUAUGAUAUAGUAAUAUGAUAUUGUUUCGAAACAGUAUCCAUAGAUAUCCAAGAUCAUUAACUAUGAUUUUCAGGUAAUAUGAUAAAGGUGGUCUCAUAAAGGUGAUGCUUUAUAAAGGCAAGAAAGUGGCCCCUAAACGUGAUAUGUAUUGCAGACGACAUCCUAAUGUCUUUAUGUUUGAAAAUUUUGAAAUUUUUUUAGCUGCAUAAUCCUGUUCGUCCUUUAAUAUUUUUUAUGCCAUGCAUUUGAUCAGUCAUUUUUGCUCCCAGAGUAACUUUUAAACUUUGUCAAUUUCUUACAUGUGUACUUAUUAUCAAUGUUAUUCAUUAACAUUUAUUAAUGAAUGGUUCAUUCAAUACGUGAUCUUUGAUCAACUUUUUUUAUUGUUAUAUAUGAAUUAUGAAGAAUAUUAAGUAAAUCAAUUUUAAAAACUU